GAUAGCCGUUGGAAACGACGAAUAAUACCCUAUGAAACUAUCACUUCGCAUGAAGCGAUAGUCAAAGUGUUAGCGGUGUAAGAUGGACUUGCGUCUGAUUAGCUAGUUGGUGAGAAAAAAGCCCACCAAGGCAACGAUCAGUAGCCGGCUUGAGAGAGUGUACGGCCACAUUGGGACUGAGACACGGCCCAG
rnacentral:rRNA from 1 species